GCUGGUGUAGCUCAGUCGGUAGAGCAGCGCAUUCGUAAUGCGCAGGUCGGGGGUUCGAGUCCGUUCACCAGCUCCA
rnacentral:tRNA from 3 species